UACAGAGGUCUCAAGCGUUUGUUCGGAUUCAUUGGGCGUAAAGGGCGCGUAGGCUGCGGGGCAAGUCGGGUGUGAAAUCUCAGAGCUCAACUCUGAAACUGCACUCGAUACUGCUUUGCUUGAGGACUGGAGAGGAGAUUGGAAUUCACGGUGUAGCAGUGAAAUGCGUAGAUAUCGUGAGGAAGACCAGUGGCGAAGGCGGAUCUCUGGACAGCUCCUGACGCUGAGGCGCGAAGGCUAGGGGAGCAAACGGG
rnacentral:rRNA from 1 species